GCUAAGAUCAAGGGUUGGAUGCUUAACAGACUGAGCCAUCCAGGUGCCCCACUGAAACCUCCAUCUUAAAAUCUACACUAUGAGCAGUUGUAAACAGAGAUGGAAAAUUGGUGACAUAAAGGAACAGACUUCUAAGAGUGGACAGUAGGACACUGUUCCUGACACAGGGCUCCUGAACCUGCUGGACCACAUGAGGUGCAUGGUUGGAAAGAUUGGUAGCCUUAGACGUGUGUCUGCGGAUGUUGGGACAAGUUCAUGAGCAUGCCUGGCAUCAUAGAGGUCUGGAACUCUCCAAAAGAAGAUCACCAUAUUCAAGUAUGAAAGCCUUUGAGAGCUGAGCUGUUGGUGAGAAAGCUGGAAAUUAAAGCCUUGUUCUUCCUGUUACUGAGCCGGUGACCCAAGGACAAAAGCUUGGAGUAGAUUAAGCUGUCAGAACCACAGUUACAACAUCACCCUUCCUAACUUCCUUAAGGAACAGUCUUAUGGCAUCUUCACCGGGGUAGAUUCCAUCUCAAGAAAUUCCUUUCUUUGCUCAUCUAUAAGAAGCAGCUCCUCAUCUGUUUAACAUCAUGAGAUUACAGCAAACCAAAUAUAAUAAUGAAAAAGUUUGAAAUAUUGCCAGAAUUACCAAAAUGUGACACAGAGUCAUGAGGUGAGGAAGUGCUGUUGGAAGAAUGGCUCCAGUGGACUUGCGUGACGGAAGGUUGCCAUAAACCUUCAGUUUGUAAAAAACAAACAAACAAACAAACAAAAACAC